AUCCAACUGAGGAAUCCCAAAUAGGAUGAAACGCGUAUCAAACUAGAU
rnacentral:hammerhead_ribozyme from 1 species